rnacentral:rRNA from 1 species
AGUGAACGCUGGCGGUAGGCCUAACACAUGCAAGUCGAACGGCAGCACAGGAGAGCUUGCUCUCUGGGUGGCGAGUGGCGGACGGGUGAGGAAUACAUCGGAAUCUACUUUUUCGUGGGGGAUAACGUAGGGAAACUUACGCUAAUACCGCAUACGACCUACGGGUGAAAGCAGGGGACCUUCGGGCCUUGCGCGAUUGAAUGAGCCGAUGUCGGAUUAGCUAGUUGGCGGGGUAAAGGCCCACCAAGGCUACGAUCAGUAGCUGGUCUGAGAGGAUGGCCAGCCACCCUGGGACUGAGACACGGCCCAGGUUCCUACGGGAGGCAGCAGUGGGGAAUCUUGCGCAAUGGGCGAAAGCCUGACGCAGCCAUGCCGCGUGGAUGAUGAAGGCCUUCGGGUUGUAAAAUUCUGUCUUCUGUGAAGAACAAGUGUGAGAGUGGAAAGCUCACACCCUGACGGUAACAGAGGAGGAAGCCCCGGCUAACUACGUGCCAGCCGCCGCGGUAA